UACGAAGGGGGCUAGCGUUGCUCGGAAUCACUGGGCGUAAAGCGCACGUAGGCGGACAUUUAAGUCAGGGGUGAAAUCCCGGGGGCUCAACCCCGGAACUGCCUUUGAUACUGGGUGUCUUGAGUCCGGAAGAGGUGAGUGGAAUUGCGAGUGUAGAGGUGAAAUUCGUAGAUAUUCGCAGGAACACCAGUGGCGAAGGCGGCUCACUGGACCGGUAUUGACGCUGAGGUGCGAAAGCGUGGGGGAGCAAACAGG
rnacentral:rRNA from 1 species